rnacentral:rRNA from 1 species
GACGAACGCUGGUGGCGUGCUUAACACAUGCAAGUCGAGCGAUGAAAGCCUUAUGAACUAUUCGUAGUGAUUGGGGCCGGAUUAGCGGCGGACGGGUGAGUAACGCGUGAGCAACCUGCCUUAAACAACGGGAUAGCCUCGGGAAACCGGGAUUAAUACCGUAUGAGACCCCGCCUUCACAUGAAGAAGAGGUUAAAGAUUUAUCGGUUUAAGAUGGGCUCGCGUCUGAUUAGCUAGUUGGUGAGAUAAAAGCCCACCAAGGCAACGAUCAGUAACCGGCUUGAGAGAGUGAACGGUCACAUUGGAACUGAGACACGGUCCAAACUCCUACGGGAGGCAGCAGUGGGGAAUAUUGCACAAUGGGGGAAACCCUGAUGCAGCGACGCCGCGUGAGCGAUGAAGGAAUUCGUUUCGUAAAGCUCUGUCCAAGGGGAAGAUAAUGACAGUACCCUUGGAGGAAGCCCCGGCUAAAUACGUGCCAGCCGCCGCUGUAAUAC